UGGGGAAUCUUCCGCAAUGGACGAAAGUCUGACGGAGCAACGCCGCGUGAGUGAAGACGGCCUUCGGGUUGUAAAGCGCUGUGAUCCGGGACGAAAGAGCCUGAGGUGAAUAGCCUAAGGAAGUGACGGUACCGGAAAAGCAAGCCACGGCUAACUACGUGCCAGCAGCCGCGGUAAUACGUAGGUGGCAAGCGUUGUCCGGAAUUAUUGGGCGUAAAGCGCGCGCAGGCGGCUUCCUAAGUCCAUCUUAAAAGUGCGGGGCUUAACCCCGUGAUGGGAUGGAAACUGGGAAGCUGGAGUAUCGGAGAGGAAAGUGGAAUUCCUAGUGUAGCGGUGAAAUGCGUAGAGAUUAGGAAGAACACCGGUGGCGAAGGCGACUUUCUGGACGAAAACUGACGCUGAGGCGCGAAAGCGUGGGGAGCAAACAGG
rnacentral:rRNA from 1 species